UAGUGCUUUGGGUCUCAGCAAAUCC
rnacentral:piRNA from 1 species